AUUGAACGCUGGCGGCAUGCCUUACACAUGCAAGUCGAACGGUAACAGGCCGCAAGGUGCUGACGAGUGGCGAACGGGUGAGUAAUGCAUCGGAACGUGCCCAGUCGUGGGGGAUAACGCAGCGAAAGCUGCGCCAAUACCGCAUACGAUCUCUGGAUGAAAGCGGGGGCCCGAAAGGCCUCGCGCGAUUGGAGCGGCCGAUGUCAGAUUAGGUAGUUGGUGGGGUAAAGGCCCACCAAGCCAACGAUCCGUAGCUGGUCUGAGAGGACGACCAGCCACACUGGGACUGAGACACGGCCCAGACUCCUACGGGAGGCAGCAGUGGGGAAUUUUGGACAAUGGGCGCAAGCCUGAUCCAGCAAUGCCGCGUGCAGGAAGAAGGCCUUCGGGUUGUAAACUGCUUUUGUACGGAACGAAACGGUCCGGGUUAAUACCCUGGGCUAAUGACGGUGCCGUAAGAAUAAGCACCGGCUAACUACGUGCCAGCAGCCGCAGUAAUAC
rnacentral:rRNA from 1 species